rnacentral:rRNA from 1 species
GAUGAACGCUGGCGGCGUGCCUAAUACAUGCCAGUCGAGCGAACAGACGAGGAGCUUGCUCCUCUGACGUUAGCGGCGGACGGGUGAGUAACACGUGGAUAACCUACCUAUAAGACUGGGAUAACUUCGGGAAACCGGAGCUAAUACCGGAUAAUAUAUUGAACCGCAUGGUUCAAUAGUGAAAGACGGUUUUGCUGUCACUUAUAGAUGGAUCCGCGCCGCAUUAGCUAGUUGGUAAGGUAACGGCUUACCAAGGCAACGAUGCGUAGCCGACCUGAGAGGGUGAUCGGCCACACUGGAACUGAGACACGGUCCAGACUCCUACGGGAGGCAGCAGUAGGGAAUCUUCCGCAAUGGGCGAAAGCUUGACGGAGCAACGCCGCGUGAGUGAUGAAGGUCUUCGGAUCGUAAAACUCUGUUAUUAGGGAAGAACAAAUGUGUAAGUAACUAUUCACGUCUUGACGGUACCUAAUCAGAAAGCCACGGCUAACUACGUG